AACGAACGCUGGCGGCAUGCCUAACACAUGCAAGUCGAACGAGACCUUCGGGUCUAGUGGCGCACGGGUGCGUAACGCGUGGGAACCUGCCCUUAGGUUCGGCAUAACUCCCCGAAAGGGGUGCUAAUACCGGAUAAUGUCUUCGGACCAAAGACUUAUCGCCUUUGGAUGGGCCCGCGUUGGAUUAGCUAGUUGGUAGGGUAAAAGCCUACCAAGGCGACGAUCCAUAGCUGGUCUGAGAGGAUGAUCAGCCACACUGGGACUGAGACACGGCCCAGACUCCUACGGGAGGCAGCAGUGGGGAAUAUUGGACAAUGGGCGAAAGCCUGAUCCAGCAAUGCCGCGUGAGUGAUGAAGGCCUUAGGGUUGUAAAGCUCUUUUAACCGGGAUGAUAAUGACAGUACCGGGAGAAUAAGCUCCGGCUAACUCCGUG
rnacentral:rRNA from 1 species